rnacentral:rRNA from 1 species
GGAAGGGAUGUAUUUAUUAGAUCCAAAACCAGCGCAGGUCUCCCUCGGGAGCCUGGUUGCUCGGUGAUUCAUGAUAACUGCUCGAACCGUAUGGCCCUCGUGCCGACGGUGCUUCAUUCAAAUUUCUGCCCUAUCAACUUUCGAUGGUACGGUAGUGGCCUACCAUGGUUGCAACGGGUGACGGAGAAUUAGGGUUCGGUUCCGGAGAGGGAGCCUGAGAAACGGCUACCACAUCCAAGGAAGGCAGCAGGCGCGCAAAUUACCCAAUCCCGACACGGGGAGGUAGUGACAAUAAAUACUGAUACAGGGCUCUUUUGGGUCUUGUAAUUGGAAUGAGUACAAUUUAAAUCUCUUAACGAGGAACAAUUGGAGGGCAAGUCUGGUGCCAGCAGCCGCGGUAAUUCCAGCUCCAAUAGCGUAUAUUAAAGUUGUUGCAGUUAAAAAGCUCGUAGUUGAAACUUGGGCCUGGCUGGCCGGUCCGCCUCACCGCGUGCACUCGUCCGGCCGGGCCUUCCUUCUGAAGAACCUCAUGCCCUUCACUGGGCGUGCUGGGGAACCAGGACUUUUAC